rnacentral:rRNA from 1 species
UACGGAGGAUGCGAGCGUUAUCCGGAUUUACUGGGUUUAAAGGGUGCGCAGGCGGCGAGUUAAGUCAGCGGUAAAAUUUCGGGGCUCAACCCCGACAAGCCGUUGAAACUGGCUUGCUAGAGUGGGCGAGAAGUAUGCGGAAUGCGUGGUGUAGCGGUGAAAUGCAUAGAUAUCACGCAGAACUCCGAUUGCGAAGGCAGCAUACCGGCGCCCAACUGACGCUGAAGCACGAAAGCGUGGGUAGUCGAACAG